CAGUCGCCGCGGUAAUACGUAGGGUGCGAGCGUUAAUCGGAAUUACUGGGCGUAAAGCGUGCGCAGGCGGUGAUGUAAGACAGAUGUGAAAUCCCCGGGCUCAACCUGGGAACUGCAUUAGUGACUGCAUCGCUGGAGUGCGGCAGAGGGGGACGGAAUUCCGCGUGUAGCAGUGAAAUGCGUAGAUAUGCGGAGGAACACCGAUGGCGAAGGCAAUCCCCUGGGCCUGCACUGACGCUCAUGCACGAAAGCGUGGGGAGCAAACAGGAUUAGAUACCCGAGUAGUCCCUGUCUCUUAUAC
rnacentral:rRNA from 1 species